GUUAAGGUGAAUCCAUUUGAACAUAUAUGUGACAAAGUGAUGGACUGGGUGAAGGAUAAUCCAGAUAUUGGUGCUAAAGAACUACAAAAUAGGAUCUUACAGACUCACUUUGUGGAGAUUAACUACAAGAGAGUGCAUGCAGGGUAUCAGCUUGCACUUGACAAAGUGUAUGGAACUUGGAAGGACAACUUUGACAGCUUGUAUAGUUGGAAAGCUGAGGUGGAGAGGAGGAGUCCUGGCAGCAUGGUCAUCAUUGAGCAUCAUUCAGUGAGGGAGAAGCAUCACUUUAAAAGGAUGUUGAUUGCUUUCAAGGCUUGUGUAGAUGGAUUCCUCAAUGGUUGCAGGCCAUACCUCUCCAUAGAUAGCAUAUUUCUUACUGGAAGGUUCAGAGGGCAGUUAGCUACUGCGUGUGCUGUGGAUGGGCACAAUUGGCUCUUUCCAGUUGUGUUUGCAAUAAUGGAGUGUGAGGAUAGUGAGCACUGGGAGUGGUUUAUGGAAAAAUUACAUGACUGCGUAGAAGAUCCUAUAGGCUUGGCCAUAUGUACUGAUGCAGGAAAGGGACUCAAUGUAAUUAAGACUGUAUUAAAAAUGCUGAGCACAGGGAGUGCAUGAGGCAUUUAGUAACCAACUUCAAGAAAAGGUUCCGUGGGAAGGUGUUUGAUGAGAACUUGUGGGCAGCAGCCUAUGCAUGGCAGCCAGAGCAAUUUGAGGAGCAUAUGUCCAAGAUGGUUGCAGCAAAUCCUGAUGUCCUCACAUACCUUACUGAGAAUCAUCCCAACCUUUGGAUGAGGUGCAAAUUUAGUUAACUCGCUAAGGUUGACUAUGUGACAAACAACUUGGCUGAAAGUUUCAAUAGUUGGAUUAGAAAGUUCAAGGCAAUGCAUUUGGGUGAUCUAGUAGAAAAGCUAAGGCAGAAGCUAAUGCUUAAGUUCGAUCAGAGGAGGAGGAUUGGUAGGAACAUGGCUGGUCUAGUAUUGCCACACAUUUAUAAUGAUCUAAAAAUGCGAAGUUAUGGAUUGAAGUAUAAAAUCCAAAGGAGUGAUGAUGAUAUAGCUGAGGUAUAUAUGGGAAGCAUUGGACUUUCACAAAAGAUCAACUUGUAGACUUCAAACAUGUGGUUGAUUUGAAAGGCAUGACCUGCACAUGUAGGUCAUGGCAGAUAUCAGGUAAACCAUGUCCACAUGCUAUAACAUUCAUAACAUAUCUUAGGGAAGAAAAUCUUCAGCUUUAUGUCGAUAGAAGCUACACAAUUGAGAAGUUUAGGGCUGCCUAUAAGGGAAAGAUACCUGCUAUGACUGAUAAGAAGCAAUGGCCCAAGCCUGACAAAGGUUUCUUCUUAUAUCCACCUUUGCUAAGGAGACCUGCUGGUAGACAAAAACACAUAGAUUUAAGGCUGCUCAUGAAUGGGGUUAUAAGAAGAAAAGGAGAGGAAGUGCACAUGAGUGCCCAAUCUGCCACCAACAUGGGCACCACUGGAACACUUGUAGAGAAGGAGAUCCAGAAGCUAAAGAAGUCCUUGCAUUGUUGGCAGCCCAAGCAAAAGCUGAGAAGAAACGAAAAAAAAUCAGGAAAUAGCAAACCUAGAAGGUGGGAGUAAAAGAAAGAACACUAAUCUUUCUAAGAGGGCAAGUCUAGCUCCUAUACCAAGACAUGAAUCCUCCAAAUUGUCUACCACUUCUGCCAUAUGGUGCAUCAGCUAGCCAACCAGCAAGUGCAAGUGCAGCAGGAACUGCAAUCGAAAAGAAGGGGAAGGGGACUGGGACAAAUAAGAUUUAGAAGAAUAGGAAAGUGAAGGGCACUGCUCAAGCAACACCAACCAAGGUUCCUGUAGAUAGUCCUGCCAUGGGAACUAGGAGCAAAAAGAAGGGUGAAAAUAGUCGUGCCAAGGGCACUAAAGCCAAAAAAAGGCUUACCGACCUUCUAUGAAUGUUUUGAGGGUCUCUAUUUUGGGUGUUAUGUGAAGGAAACUUGACCUUUCGUGAAUAUUUUGGAUGUGGGAACUUGACCUUCUAUUCUUAUUUUGGAGAAAUUAUGGAUGUACGUAGAGCAAACUAUGAUGUCUAUGUAUUUAGGAGGGUCAGAAGGCUAUGUUAUGUGACUUUUAAAACACUGGAAUGGUCAUGAAGUUAUUGUACUGGUCUUGUGAUGGAAA